ensembl:lncRNA
UUUUUUUUUUUUGUCAUUUAUUUUGUUGAGCCUAUACUAAAAAUCACCUCUCUGAUAAGAAAACUGUACACAGACCAGGUUUGGUGCUUUUCUAUACUGAUCUGGGUAUCCUUUAUCAGAUUGAAUAUGCCAGAAAGAACAUCGAUGGUGCCCACCACAAGAUUCAGGAGAAACUCAGCUCCAUAAAGGAAUGGCGUUCAAAUGGACACACACCUCAGGAGUGUGAUGCAGCAGUACGUAGUCGGCACAAUUACUGUGCCAUUUAUUCGGCAGAUUUGACCAUACUGACUGAAAUGUCUUGUGUAUCAUGCGACUGGAAGAGGAAUGAAGUCUGGACACCUGCAACACUAUUAGAAAGUGUUGAUUUAUUGUAUUACUGGUCGUAGCAGAAAUGAUAGAAGCAGUCGUGGUGAUGUAGAACUAAGAAUGCCAAGAUGAACUCUAUUCACUAGCUUGAGGAAGCACUCAUUCCAAACAGACUUUUUAUGCAUUUUAAGAUUACGUUUUGGUAUAGCUUUUUGGGAAAAGGCACUUCCAGUUUUGAUGAUCUAAUUGUAUCUUUUUUUUUUUAAACCAUGCUAGUAUAUUAUUCUUUCCUGUCCUAAUUAUUGUGCCAUGUGCCUCUUCCUGUGCAGAGUGUUGAGUCCCGUACGCUGGCCUUGGCCCGCGGGCUCUCCCACCAGCUGCAGACCACCUGCCAGGGGUUGGUGUCGGGUCUGCAGGGCCUCCCCCAGCACGUCCAAGAUCAGGCGCUCACCAUCACCAACCUGGCCUCCGAGGUCUGCCGCAGCCUCAGCAAGGCGGUGGCGCUCGGGGACCUCUCUGACGGGGUGCUGUCCUCCAGCAGAGCGCAGCUGCACCGCCUCCGAGAGACGUUGGACACCACCAUGGACUACCUGGUGAACAACACGCCACUCAACUGGCUGGUUCCUGACUUGACAUUUUCGGAUCUUUCUUCGGAACCCGACAUGUCCUCUGUACAAGAAACUGAGACUCCUUCUCACUCCCCACGGAACAUGAGCAGUCAAGACCUCGCACAGAAAUAAAAUGUUAAACAUUCACAUCAUCGAAAUGGCAGGGGGAGUCUUGCAUUGCCUUCCAUGUUCUUCUGUCUAAUAAAUACAUCUUGGUGUAUUGACGUUUUAGUGUGUUUUAAUUCUGCAAAACCACCUCCACCUCCCUAGCC